AAAUCCGGUUGAUCCUGCCGGAGGCUACCGCUAUUGGAGUUCGAUUAAGCCAUGCGAGUCCAGAGCUUUCGGAGCUCGGCGUACCGCUCAGUAACACGUGGGUAACCUAACCUAUGCAGGGGAAUAACCUCGGGAAACUGAGAAUAAUGCCCCAUAGUCCACUACGCCUGGAACGGUGAGUGGAUGAAAGCUCAGGCGGCAUAGGAUGGGCCUGCGGCGUAUCAGGUUGUAGGGGGUGUAAAGUACCCUCUAGCCCUCUACGCGUACGGGUGUUGGGAGACAUAGCCCGGAGAUGGAUUCUGAGACACGAAUCCAGACCCUACGGGGUGCAGCAGGCGCGAAAACUUGGCAAUGCGAGCAAUCGUGACCAGGGAACUCCAAGUGGCUGGGGUAAGACCCAGUCUUUUCAGAACUCUUCAAAGGUUUUAGAAUAAGGGGUGGGUAAGGACGGUGCCAGCCGCCGCGGUAAUACCGGCGCCUCAAGUGGUAGUCGCUUUUAUUGGGCCUAAAACGUCCGUAGCCGGUCU
rnacentral:rRNA from 1 species